GGUCGAAUAGCUCAGGGGUAGAGCAACCGGCUGCAGUGUUCCGAUCAGGAACGAGGAUCCGGUAGGUCACGUGUUCAAAUCACGUUUCGACCU